UAAUGAAUACAGAUGCCUGUCGAGCUUGCUCACGGGCUUUCUAUCAUAUCCAUAACACCUGUGCACUUGUUGGAUGUCCUAGAGACUAAAUGCUUACAGCUGUGGUCAAUAGUCAUCCACUUACACUAAACAAUAAUGUAACAAAUGUAGUCUUAUUAUAACAUAAUAAAACUUUCAACAACGGAUCUCUUGGCUCUCGCAUCGAUGAAGAACGCAGCGAAAUGCGAUAAGUAAUGUGAAUUGCAGAAUUCAGUGAAUCAUCGAAUCUUUGAACGCACCUUGCGCUCCUUGGUAUUCCGAGGAGCAUGCCUGUUUGAGUGUCAUGAAAACCCUCAACCUUAGAUUGGUUAUUUGACCUUUCUUUGGCUUGGAUUUGGACGUUUGCCGAUGUCAAGUCGGCUCGUCUUAAAAGUAAUAGCUGGAUCUGUCUCGCGACAUGGUUUGACUUGGCGUAAUAAGUAUUUCGCUAAGGACAUCUUCGGAUGGCCCUGUUGCAGGACUAAAGACCGCUUUCUAAUCCAUUGAUCUUCGGAUUAAUAUUCAUAACAUCUGGCCUCAAAUCAGGUAGGACUACCCGCUGAACUUAAGCAUAUCAAUAAGCGGAGGAAAAGAAACUAACAAGGAUUCCCCUAGUAACGGCGAGUGAAGCGGGAAGAGCUCAAAUUUGAAAUCUGGUAGCCUUCGGUUGCCCGAGUUGUAAUCUAGAGAAGUGUUUUCCGCGUUGGCCCAUGUACAAGUCCCUUGGAACAGGGCGUCAUAGAGGGUGAGAAUCCCGUCCUUGACAUGGACCCCCAAUGCUUUGUGAUACACUUUCAACGAGUCGAGUUGUUUGGGAAUGCAGCUCAAAAUGGGUGGUGAAUUCCAUCUAAAGCUAAAUAUUGGCGAGAGACCGAUAGCGAACAAGUACCGUGAGGGAAAGAUGAAAAGCACUUUGGAAAGAGAGUUAAACAGUACGUGAAAUUGUUGAAAGGGAAACGAUUGAAGUCAGUCAUGCUCUUUGGAUUAAGCCGUUCUGCGGUGUAUUUCAUUGAGCGGGGUCAACAUCAGUUUUGAUCGCUGGAAAAGGGCAGGAGGAAGGUAGCACUCUCGGGUGAACUUAUAGCCUNNNGUCGUAUACAGUGAUUGGGACUGAGGAACGCAGCAUGCCUUUUGGCCGGGA
rnacentral:rRNA from 1 species